rnacentral:rRNA from 1 species
CCCUUAGAUGUUCUGGGCCGCACGCGUGCUACACUGAGUGGAUCAGCGGGUCAGGUUGCGCGAAAGUGUUUCCUAAUCUUGAAAUCCGCUCGUGAUGGGGAUUGACGGUUGCAAUUUUCCGUCAUGAACGAGGAAUACCUUGUAAGCGCGGGUCAUCAUCCCGCGCUGAAUACGUCCCUGCCCUUUGUACACACCGCCCGUCGCUCCUACCGAUUGGAUGGUUUAGUGAGGACUCCUGAUUGGCGCCGCCGCCCCGGCAACGGAGCAGCGGACUGCCGAAAAGUUGUUCAAACUUGAUCAUUUAGGGGAAGUAAAAGUCGUAACA